CUGGCUCAGGACGAACGCUGGCGGCGUGCUUAACACAUGCAAGUCGAACGGUAAGGCCCCUUCGGGGGUACACGAGUGGCGAACGGGUGAGUAACACGUGGGUAAUCUGCCCUGCACUUCGGGAUAAGCCUGGGAAACUGGGUCUAAUACCGGAUAUGAACUCCUGCCGCAUGGUGGGGGUUGGAAAGUUUUUCGGUGCAGGAUGAGCCCGCGGCCUAUCAGCUUGUUGGUGGGGUAAUGGCCUACCAAGGCGACGACGGGUAGCCGGCCUGAGAGGGUGAUCGGCCACACUGGGACUGAGACACGGCCCAGACUCCUACGGGAGGCAGCAGUGGGGAAUAUUGCACAAUGGGCGAAAGCCUGAUGCAGCGACGCCGCGUGGGGGAUGACGGUCUUCGGAUUGUAAACCCCUUUCAGUAGGGAACGAAGCGCAAGUGAC
rnacentral:rRNA from 2 species